UACGAAGGGGGCUAGCGUUGCUCGGAAUUACUGGGCGUAAAGGGCGCGUAGGCGGCCAUUCAAGUCAGGGGUGAAAGCCUGUGGCUCAACCACAGAAUUGCCUUUGAUACUGUUUGGCUAGAGACCGGAAGAGGUAAGUGGAACUGCGAGUGUAGAGGUGAAAUUCGUAGAUAUUCGCAAGAACACCGGUGGCGAAGGCGGCCCAGCUGGAUCGGUACUGACGCUGAGGUGCGAAAGCGUGGGGAGCAAACAGG
rnacentral:rRNA from 1 species